rnacentral:rRNA from 1 species
UGGGGAAUAUUGGACAAUGGGCGAAAGCCUGAUCCAGCCAUGCCGCGUGUGUGAAGAAGGUCUUCGGAUUGUAAAGCACUUUAAGUUGGGAGGAAGGGCAGUUACCUAAUACGUAUCUGUUUUGACGUUACCGACAGAAUAAGCACCGGCUAACUCUGUGCCAGCAGCCGCGGUAAUACAGAGGGUGCAAGCGUUAAUCGGAAUUACUGGGCGUAAAGCGCGCGUAGGUGGUUUGUUAAGUUGGAUGUGAAAUCCCCGGGCUCAACCUGGGAACUGCAUUCAAAACUGACAAGCUAGAGUAUGGUAGAGGGUGGUGGAAUUUCCUGUGUAGCGGUGAAAUGCGUAGAUAUAGGAAGGAACACCAGUGGCGAAGGCGACCACCUGGACUGAUACUGACACUGAGGUGCGAAAGCGUGGGGAGCAAACAGGAUUAGAUACCCACGUAGUCCCUGAGCGGGCUGGCAAGGCGCAU